GCCCUGUUAGUUCAGUUGGGAGAACGCUAGAUAAUUUUUUAUCAUAGAAAUGCAGGUUCGAUUCCUGCACUGGGCU
rnacentral:tRNA from 1 species